GGGCUGGUAGCUCAGUUUGGCAGAGCGGCGGACGCUUACUCCGUCGGUCGCGUGUUCAAAUCGCGCUUAGCCUG
rnacentral:tRNA from 1 species